AGUGAACGCUGGCGGCGUGCCUAAUACAUGCAAGUCGAACGGAGAUUAAGUAGCUUGCUAUUUAAUCUUAGUGGCGCACGGGUGAGUAAUAUAUAGCUAACUUGCCCAUUACUAAGGGACAACAGUUGGAAACGACUGCUAAUACCUUAUACUCCGUAUCUAUAUAAGUAGAUACGGGAAAGUUUUUCGGUAAUGGAUAGGGCUAUAUCGUAUCAGCUAGUUGGUAAGGUAAUGGCUUACCAAGGCUAUGACGCGUAACUGGUCUGAGAGGAUGAUCAGUCACACUGGAACUGAGACACGGUCCAGACUCCUACGAGAGGCAGCAGUAGGGAAUAUUGCUCAAUGGGGGAAACCCUGAAGCAGCAACGCCGCGUGGAGGAUGACACUUUUCGGAGCGUAAACUCCUUUUCUUGGGAAAGAAUUAUGACGGUACCCAAGGAAUAAGCACCGGCUAACUCCGUG
rnacentral:rRNA from 1 species